UACGUAGGGUGCGAGCGUUAAUCGGAAUUACUGGGCGUAAAGCGUGCGUAGGCGGUCCCGCAAGUCCGCUGUGAAAUCCCCGGGCUCAACCUGGGAACUGCAUUUGUGACUGCAAGGCUAGAGUACGGUAGAGGGGGAUGGAAUUCCGCGUGUAGCAGUGAAAUGCGUAGAUAUGCGGAGGAACACCGAUGGCGAAGGCAAUCCCCUGGACCUGUACUGACGCUCAUGCACGAAAGCGUGGGGAGCAAACAGG
rnacentral:rRNA from 1 species